GUCACAGAGCUGGGAACUCGCUCAGAGCCAGGGUCUCUGCUGGGGUCAGCGUCUGUACGCUAAAGCCAGGGCGCAAAGUGCGUGGGCACUGCGGACACUAGAGGCUUAUGGCGCUGGAAAUACAAGGCCGAGUUGCCGGCGCAAAGAGUUCCCCGGGCGGGUUGGUGAUGCGGCGCGCUUUGAUAACAGGUUAAUCCGGCCAACAUUCGCUCCGCGAGAGAGCCAUCGGAGGGCUCCGGGAGACUGCGGCGCCACGGAGGGAGAGGCGGCGAGAGGCCCCUCUGCGAGCACCCUCUGGGCGCAGUGCGGUGGGCUAUGCUCUGCGCAGCCCCGGGCGCGCCUGGGUUCUCAGAGCCCAAGACCUGAGCCGCUCCGAGCGCAGGGCGCCAGUUCUCUUUCAGAAGCGGGAGAAGUUCAGGUGCCCAACACCUUGAUCAGUGCCUGCUUUGUAGUAGGCAUUCAAAUACUGUGGACUGGAUGAAUGGAGUCACUUCCCUUCCAACCUGCACACCAACGUGGUUGAACUGCCUCCUUUCUAAGUGCCAAAGUCUGUUUUACAAGGCUGAUAUCAAAGGAGCAUUACAAAAUAUUGUCUAACAGAAGUACCAGGGCUGGAUCCCAAAGUUUUGUGUAGAUCUUGAUAAAGAGUUUGGAUUUUAUUCUAACAAGAGUGAAGAGCAUGACAAUGUUUGCAGAAGAGUGAUGGCUUCUUUCAGGCAACAGUGACAAUUACACCUCCUCUUUUUCUCUUUGAUCCUCCACCCUCUCCCUCCAGCACCUGGUACAAAGCUGGGUACCCAGCAGACACUCUGUAAAUUAAAGUGCUGCCAGCCUGAACAAUCUCAGUGGAAGAGCUAAGUGGGUCCAUUUCCUUGCUUUACAAAUGAAGUCGCUGAGGCUCAG
rnacentral:lncRNA from 1 species